AAAAAAAAAAAAAAAAAUUAGUUUUAAUAUGAAUUUAAAAAAGAAAUUAAGGUUAGAAAAAAAAAUUCUAAUAUUAAAAUAAAUUUAUUUAUACAUUUUUUUUUAUUAUGAAUUAUUUAUUUUAAAAAUAAGUUUGAAUAAGUUUUUUAUUUAUAUAUAUAUUAAGAAUAUAUAUAUAUCUAUUAAACUUUUUGAACUUAGUUUAUUUUAACAUUUUUAUUUUUAUAUUAAAACAAUUAUAUUUAAGUUAAAUAAUUUUAAAUAAACUUUUUUUUUUUUUCUUUUUUGAUAAUAUAUUUUUAAAUAUUAAUAAAUAUUAUGAAAAAGAAAUAGUUUAAAUCAAUAAAUAUCAAGAAAAAUAUGUAAUAAUAAAAUAAGUUCGCUAAUAUUGGAAAAUUCAGAAGGAAAAAGAAUGUUUUCUUUUUUCUAAGUUUAAAAAUAAAAUAUAAUUAUAUAUAAACAGUAAAAUAAAUUUAAGCAUUAUUUUAAUUUUUUGGUACAUUUAAAAUUCUCUAUUUUUUUUUAAUAGACCAUUUUAUUAAAAUUUUUGCUUCAAAUGAGGUGAAAGUUUUAUAUUAAGUAAAAAAAAAUACAUUAAUAAUUAAAUUAAAGUAUUUUUUUUAAUGUAAAUCUGUUAAUUUAUAUACUAUAUAUUUAUAACUUGAUUAUAAAACAAAGCAUCAUAAUAAUUAUAAAAUAUUUUUUAUAUAAAUAAAUUAUAUUAUAAUAUAUUAGGUGUUCUAUGUCUUU